rnacentral:rRNA from 1 species
GGCUCAGGAUAAAGCUUACGGCGUGCCUAACACAUGCAAGUCGAACGCUCUCUUGUGGGAAACUACAAGAGGGAGUGGCGGACGGGUGAGUAACGCGUGGGUUAUCUACCUUGAGUGUGAGGAAUACCGGCGAGAAAUCGCCGACAAGACCGCAUAGCCUGGAGUCUCUCCAGGAAAGUUCCGGCGACGGGACGCCCCAAGAUGAGCCUGCGUCCGAUUAGCUUUGUUGGUGGGGUAACGGCCUACCAAAGCGACGAUCGGUAGCUGGUCUGAGAGGACGAUCAGCCACACUGGGAUUGAGAACGGCCCAGACUCCUACGGGGGGCAGCAGUGAGGAAUUUUCGUCAAUGGGGGAAACCCUGAACGAGCAACGCCGCGUGCAGGAAGAAGGUUUUCGGAUCGUAAACUGCUUUUCUCGGGGAAGAGAACGGACGGUACCCGAGGAAGAAGCCCCGGCUAACUACGUGCCAGCAGCCGCGGUAAUACGUAGGGGGCAAGCGUUGUCCGGAUUUAUUGGGCGUAAAGCGCACGCAGGCGGUCUUCUACGUUUCCAGUGACAGGUGGUGGCUCAACUGCCACAGGUCUGGGAAAACGGGUUGACUUGAGGACGAGAGAGGGAUGCGGAAUUCCAGGUGGAGCGGUGAAAUGCGUAGAGAUCUGGAAGAACACCAAUGGCGAAGGCAGCAUCCUGGAUCGUUUCUGACGCUCCGGUGCGAAAGCCAGGGGAGCGAACGGGAUUAGAUACCCCGGUAGUCCUGGCUGUAAACGAUGACCACUAGACGUAGGAGGUAUCGACCCCUUCUGUGUCGCAGCUAACGCACUAAGUGGUCCGCCUGGGGAGUACGGUCGCAAGAUUAAAACUCAAAGGAAUUGACGGGGACCCGCACAAGCAGCGGAGCGUGUGGUUUAAUUCGAUGCAACGCGAAGAACCUUACCAAGGCUUGACAUGGACUCGCACCUGCCGUAACGGGCUGUCUCUUUCGGGAGCGGGUUCACAGGUGCUGCAUGGCUGUCGUCAGCUCGUGUCGUGAGAUGUUGGGUUAAGUCCCGCAACGAGCGCAACCCCUAUCGUUAGUUGAAUACUCUAGCGAGACUGCCACGCUAAACGUGGAGGAAGGUGGGGAUGACGUCAAGUCAGCACGGCCCUUACGCCUUGGGCGACACACACGCUACAAUGGUCAGGACGAAGAGUUGCCAACCCGCGAGGGGGAGCUAAUCUCGUCAAACCUGAUCUCAGUUCAGAUUGCAGGCUGCAACCCGCCUGCAUGAA